rnacentral:rRNA from 1 species
UACAGAGGGUGCUAGCGUUAUUCGGAAUUACUGGGCGUAAAGCGCAUGUAGGCGGUUCGGUAAGUCUGAUGUGAAAUCCCCCGGCUCAAUCGGGGAAGUGCAUCGGAUACUGCCGGACUGGAGUAUAGGAUGGGAGAACGGAAUUCCAGGUGUAGAGGUGAAAUUCGUAGAUAUCUGGAGGAACAACGGCGGCGAAGGCGGUUCUCUGGACUAUAACUGACGCUGAGAUGCGAAAGCGUGGGGAGCAAACAGG